rnacentral:lncRNA from 1 species
AUGUUUUAUGGGCACACAUGCAGAGGAGUUUUCGUCACUCAAAAGCCCGACGACUUCCCCUGCCAACCCGUUGGAAUGAAAAGAAACCUCGAUAACCUCUUACACACAUGGAAAUGGAACCCUGAGCAGAGAUUGUGGUGGGUAUCUGUACAGCCUAAGGACCUUGGGUGGACCUGGCCAGCAAUGAGACUGCUAUUGACAAUGCAUCACGUGAUGUCACUAGGGCAAGCAUAGAUCAGCUGCGGAUCAACCUUCCUGCCUGGUGUGCAUGAAAAUGUAAGUUAUGUGCUUCCUUCAGCCCCAACCCUGUUGUCCACACCAGAAUCUGGAAAUAAUCUCAUUGGAAUUGGGAGAAUGAUUGAUGAUACUCAGUGGUGAGUGUUUUAAUAUCUACAAUUUUUUAAAUAGUCUAGCACCUAAAGAAAAAAAUGAUCCUUUCUUCAGUACUUGGCUAUUUGUGGCAAACUUUAAGAAGGUGGAACCAUUUACAAUCACAAAAAUAUUAAUUCUAUUAAGUAUACACCCAUUAGAAUUACCAGAGGCGUGAGGAGUUAACUGCUUAGCAGAGCAAAUAGGCCUGAAUGGGGUUACAUGCAAAAUGAAACAAAAUUCCCCAUGCUUGUUCUCUUGAGUGUCAACACCUUAAGCUUCAUAAAAAUUCCACUAGUUGAGCUUGGAGGAGAAACCAGAGUUGGAAUGAUCUUUGAAGAAUGAAUCCACCUCUCGCUCUGGGAUUCUUUACAGAAUGUCUUAUGUUUAAGUCUCAGGUGCAUCCAUAUCAACUUGUUUUCAAAAUAGGUAAAUAUCUUAAAGUAUUUUGUAAAUUGCAGAAAAUCUAUUGCAUUAUGAGAAAAAGUAUGGAGGUCACACUGUAUCUCUAAACUAGAUGUGGAAAUCAGUAUUUGUUGAAUUGAUUGGAAUAUAUAUUGAUUUAAUAGUUUUGCUACAUGCCUAGUAUAAAUUGAGGGAGAUAUUUGGAAGUAAGGAAGAUGUUUUGUUAAAUUUGUUUAUUUAACAAGUGCUCAUUACUAGAGGUUUGAAAAUUAUAACAUACUAUCUCUGCCCUCAAGGAUUUAAUAGGCUAAAUUUUGGGAGUGGAGAAGGUGGAAAUAUAAACACAGAUAUCAAACGAAUUGUCAUGUGUUAUAAUAGUUUAGUGUAUUUGGUUAAAAUGAAUUCAUAAAGGUUAUUUAUCAUUUCAUCUGGAAGAGUUAAUAGGAAAAAGACAGCAUUUGGCUAAGGUCUUGUAGAGUGAGAAUUGUUUGAGGGGGAUGAGGAGAAAGUGUAAGUAAUUAGGUAUUUAGAUAGAGGAACAUUGGUUUCAAAUUUGUUAAAUGCACGUUUUUACCCUGGCAAACUAAGU